rnacentral:lncRNA from 1 species
UUUUGACAGAUGAGAAAACAGAGGCACAACAUGCUUCAGUAGUCCUGCUCAUCAUCGGAUCCAUCUGACCGUGUAACAGUGGUAUCCCGGUGACUAGAGAAAUAUUUAAUGAAGUGCUCAUUGAUAGGACAUUUGUAAAACCCCAAGUUUUGGUGGUGAUGCUAAAAAAUUCUUUCUUGGUCUAGACCUAUGCUAUGGGGCAGGUGGGGCAGAUAUGUGCCAUUCUUAUAAGGCCCCUCCCAUAUGCCUGGCACCAGUAAAUUAACUUCCUAAGCUAACUCAUGGCUUCUUGAAUUCACUCCUCAGGAAAUAGAAGCCAUAGCAAAGAGAGCACACUUUUCUGGGAGGAGGACAGUGUUUCCUGUUUUGCUUAUCUCAUGGGACUGAUGUGGGGAACAGGUGAGCUCAUCCGGGAGUAUACUAGACAAAUGGGAAAAAAUGGACAUACCCGGCAUUUGGAACCUUCACACAUCUACCACUUUCAUCCUUGGUGUCAGGUUCGGCCUGACUGGCUCAG